UUACAAAUCUUCUCUGUACCAUUCGUGCUGCUGAACAAUACAGAGAAGAUUUCCAUGGCCCCUGCACAAAGAUGACAUGUUAGAGGCCAAUACCAGAUCUUC